CUAUAUGCUUGAUGUGAUUUGAUUAUACAAAGAAGCUUUGAGCUUUCUCGGCCGUUCUUCCGGUCGUUGCGUUGCUCUUCAGUCUUGUCUUCAUCACUCUGCACCUGUGAGCACAAAUGACUUGCUAUUAUUUUGUGUUUACUUUUCUUGGCCCGGGCUUGAAUUUUUUGGCCCCAUAUCAUCUUUAUUGGCCCCAUUUUAUAUUACAGUUCUGAUUUUUUAUACAUAAAAAAGUAGGUUUUUUUUUUAUAAAAAUUCAAGUGGGGUCAGG
rnacentral:lncRNA from 1 species